UGUGAGCAGGGAAGGAGGGAGGCUAUUGUCAAAUCAGCAAUAGCCAGUGUCGAGGUCUGUCACACUAGAUAGGAGUCCUUGCUUAGGAUUCUUUCUGCUAAGUGGCGGAUUUGUAUAGGACUCCUUGCUUAGGAUUCUUUCUGCUCAGAGGCAGACUUGUUUUUUUUCUUGCAGUAGUUUAAUGCAUAAUCCUCCCAGAAAACCAUAGCUUCCAGCUCCUGAAACAACGAUAAUAAUGGUAUUUUUCUUUUCCUCUCGUUUGGAAUAGGAUCAGUGCAUUCACAACAAGUACUUAAAUUAUGUGUAAAAAAAAGAUAUAAUAUGUCAUUUAUAGUAGAAAUCUAUCAAAUAGGUGGCAAACCAGGCAGUGAGUUUCUGCGGAAAAUGCAGCUGCUUUAGAAGCAGUAUUUAAAUUUGAGUUCUGCCAUUAAGUAGCUUUGUUAACUUGGGGGAUUUAAUCAUCCUUUUAGAGACUCCGUUUACGUAAAUAAAAUAGGAUUGAACUCGCAGAAUGCUGUGAACAUUUAAUGAGGUUAUGUAUAGAAAGUACUUAUCACAAUUUUUGGCACAUACCAACAGCCUAAUAAAUGGUAGCAAGUAUCAUAAUACAGGCCCUAAUAUAUCCACUUUAUUCUAACAAAAACCUAUGUUCUUACAUGUUUCUAAGAGUGAAAGUGUUACACCUAGGAAAUGCAUGGAUUUUUACAGAUGAAUCAUCACUUACAUGAGGUUAACAAUCAGGUAUAUUACUAGGCUAACUGUACCCUGUACUUGUUUGCUACCAAAAGUACUAUUUCAAAGCAACUGUCACAUGCUCCUUCUUUGCAGGUUUACUUACAAAGUAUCACUGGAUUAAGUGCUACAGAGAUUUAUCCUGCUCUGUAAAACAGAGCACAAAUUUGGUAGAAAAUCAUAGCAUGUGGUCAUGACAUUGAUAGAAAAGUAAACAGUUUCAUUUUGAGUACUCUGGGAUGUAACCUGCACCCUCAUUUCACCCGGGACUGGAGAAAAGCUCAGGUGUUCCAUGUUUACAUCAGUAGCUUACUGGACUAAAUUACCUUUUUUUUUUUUUUUUUUUUUUUCACAAAUAUCUUUUUUCUUAUUUUUUCUUAUUUUCUGUUUUCCUUUUAAAAUUUAUUUAUUUAUUUUUAAUCAUACUUCAAGUUCUAGGGUACAUGUGCACAGCGUGCAGGUUUGUUACAUAGGUAUACAUGUGCCACGCUGGCUUCCUGCACCCAUCAACUCAUCAUUUACAUUAGGUAUUUCUCCUAACGCUAUCCCUCCCCCAGUCCCCCAUCUCCUGACAGGCUUCCAUGGGUGAUGUUCCCCAUAUUUUUCCCAGAUCCUGAAAUUGUCUUUUUUUCCAAUUAGAUAAAAUUCUAAUUACGGGUUGGACAUGAGAUAACUGUAUACAUUUUGAAGUGUUUACUUAAAGGUGAAGUUAAUUUUUAUCUAGCUGUUAAGAAGAAAGUUAACAGUUAAUUAGACCAGGUAUUUUAAAGUUGAUUUUUUACAGUUUUCCUUCACUUUUACAGUAAUUUACAGGAAAAAGAGGAACUAACAAAUUUUUCAUCUAGUGCCUUAAGAUAAUAAAUUAUUGAAGACUUAAAAGCAUUUUAAGUACCACUUAAAAUAAUGAAAUUGGCUCUUUUUACCACUGUGUUGAACCAUAAUUUAAUUCACUCUAUUGAUGACUAGUGGGAAUGUUAAUGCAAAUAACUAAUUUAUUCUCCUAGACAGUCAAACACACUACAAAAUACGUCCAACGCCAAACACAGCUUCCUCUGACAAAAUGUAUAUUCAUAGCUAAGUGUCUAACUUGAGUAGAGUUCACCAGAAGAAUAAAAAUUAAAAAGCCAAAAUAAUAUGAAAUAAAUAAUAGAGAACACAUCUCCACUAUUAAAAGUACUGCAUAGAGAUAUAAAAGCAAUCACUAAUGAAAACAAAUUUUAGAGAAUUAAGCUACAAGACGCCUGUUGAAAAGGAGUGCCGGGCCGGGCGCGGUGUCUCACGCCUGUAAUCCCAGCACUGUGGGAGGCCAAGGCGGGUGGAUCACGAGAUCAGGAGAUCGAGACCAUCCUAGCCAACACGGUGAAACCCUGUGUCUACUAAAAAUACCAAAAAAAAAAAAAUUAGCUGUGCGUGGCGGCGGGCGCCUGUAGUCCCAGCUAUUCGGGAGGCUGAGGCAGGAGAAUGGCGUGAACCCCA
rnacentral:lncRNA from 1 species